GAACCAUGCUAGGACUAAAUUCACAGUAUGGAAGUGCUUUCAUUAUCUUGUGCUUAUUUUUUUUUUUAUUUUAUUUUAUAAAUGUUAUAAAAUAACAUUUUAUUUUAUUUUAUAACAUUUAUAAUAUUAUAAAAUAAAAUAUAUAUAUACACACAUACACACACACACACACACACACACACCACAUUUUCUUUAUUCAUUCAUCUAUUGAAGGGCACGUAGGCUGGUUCUGGAGUUUAGCUCUUGUGAAUUAAGCUGCUAUAAACAUUGAUGUGGCUAUAAAAUGCUGAUUUUAAGUCCUUUGGGUAUAAACCCAGGGGUGGGAUAGCUGAGUGAAAUGGUGGUUCCACUGCAAGUUUUCUAAGGAAUCUCCAUACUGCUUUCCAGAGUGGUUGCACCAAUUUGCAGUCCCACCAGCAAUAUAUGAGUGUGCCUUUUCUCCCACAUCCUUGCCAACACUUAUUGUUGUUUGUGUUCUUAACAGAUGACAUUCUGACUGGAGUGAGAUGAAAUCUUACAGUGGUUUUGAUUUGCUUUUCUGUGAUUGCUAGAGAUGUUGAACAUUUUUUCAUAUAUUUGUUGGUUGAUUGUAUAUCACCUUCUGAGAAGUGUCUGUUCAGUUCCUUGGCCCAUUUAUUAGGUUAAUUGUUUUUUUUGGUGUUAAGGUUUUUGAGUUCUUUAUAUAUUCUAGAGACUAGUGCUCUAUCUGAUGUGCGUGUGGUAAGAAUUUGUUCCCAAUUAGUAGGUUCUCUAUUUACCUCACUGAUUGUUUCUUUUGCUGUGAAGAAGCUUUUUAAUUUGAGUCCAUCCCAUUUAUUGAUUCUUCAAUUUAUGUUUUGUGCUUUAGGAGCCUUGUUGAGGAAGUCAGAUUCUAGGCCAACAUGGUGGGAAUUUUGACCUACUCUUUUUUCUAUUAGGCACAGGGUCUAUGUUCUAGUGCCUAAGUCUUUGAUCCAUUUUGAGUUGAGUUCCGUGCAGGGUGAGAGAGGUUGAAUUUCAUUUUGUUACAUGUGACUUUCCAUUUUUCCCAGCACCAUUUGUUAAAUGGGCUAUAUUUUUCUCCAGUGAAUAUUUUUGGCACCUUUGUCUAGUAUGAGAUAACUGCAUUUAUGUGGGUUUGUCUGUAUCUUCUAUUCUGUAUCAUUGGUCUAUGUGUCUGUUUUGGUACCCAUACCAUGCUAUUUUUGUUACUAUGGUUCUAUAGUAUAGUUCAGGUUUUAUUAUUGUUAUGCCUCCUGGUUCACUUAUCUUGCUAAGGAUUGCUUUGGCUAUUCUGGGUCUCUUAUUUUUCCAAACAAAUUUCAUGAUUGCUUUUUCUAAUACAAUAAGAAUGUUAUCAGUAUUUUAAUAGGAAUUUCAUUAAGUGCAGCAGCCCCCAGAAACACUUUUGGUAAUAUGCCCAUUUUGACAAUAUUGACUCUACCUAUCCAGGGGCAUGAAAGGUCUUUCCAUCUUCUAAGGUCUUCUUCAAUUUCUUUCUUUAGUAUUCUGUAGCUUUCAUUAUAAAGGUCUUUCACCUCUUUUGUUAGAUUGAUUCCCAAAUAUCUUAUUAUAUUUUUUGAGGCUGUUGUGAAUGGGGUAGUUUUCUAACUUCUCUUUCAGAGGAUGCGUUUGAUUUAUGGGAGUUGAUUUAUAUCCUACUACUUUGCUGAAUUCAUUUAUUGUUUCUAAAAGUUUUUUUUGGUGGGAUUUUUUAAAUCUUC
rnacentral:lncRNA from 1 species